GGUUGUAACUCAGUGGUAAAGCGCUUGCCUAGCAUGUGUGAGGCACUGGGUUCGAUUCUCAGCACCA
rnacentral:tRNA from 1 species